rnacentral:miRNA from 1 species
GACGUCGAUAUUCAACGUCAUAAACACCAUCAAGUUUGGUGUUUAUGACGUCGAUAUACGACGUCAUAACCAGCAUCAAGUUUAGUGUUUAUGGCGUCGAUAUUCGGCGUCAUAAACACAGUCAAGUUUGCUGUUUAUGGCGUCGAAAUGCGACGUCAUAAACACCGUCAAGUUUGUUGUUUAUGGCGUCGAUAUACGACGUCAUAAACAACAUCAAGUUUGGUGUUUAUGACGUCGAUAUACGACGUC